CACCGCCCCAUCUCGCCGUCCCUCGCCGCCCCAUCCCGCCGCCCCCGUUUUCCCAACCCCUCAACCUCCUCUCUCCCCUCGUUGCCCCCUACCCGACCUCUUUCUCCCCAUGCCACCGCUGCUGCUUCCCUACGCCGCCGUUGCUUCCCCCCUACCCGACCUCCUCUCUCCCCAUGCCACCGUCGUCCCUGCUUUGAGUGGUUGUUUGAUGGGCUUUUGGUGUUCAGAUCUGUACCUAGGGUUUGAAGAAGUCGAUGGAGAAGAUGAGGAGCCUCGAGCGGAGUUCGUAGCUCCAUUCAAUCCAAAGCGUCGUUCCUCUCAGGUAGUCACUCUGUGGUAUAGGGCACCUGAAAUUCUCUUCUGAUAACUUGGGCUGGCUUGGGUUUAGGCCAGUUUUUUUCCCUUCUGAUAACUUCUACUGGCUUCUCAUCUUCUGAGCUCUCAAGGCGAGGUAUCAAUGCUCCUACGUCUCAGUCCUUCUUGAAUUAUUUGCUGCUGGCGCUAUUUUAUGGCGGUUUUUUGAUCUACAGGAGGAAACCUCUGCAGAUGCGUUGGUAUUACUACCUUUUGCUUUCUGUUGUUGAUGUCAAGGCCAAUUUUCUUGUGAUCAAGGUGUCUAAAUUUGCAUUCUUUCCACAGUGGCCUAAACCCAAGCCAACCCAAGCCUCCUAGGGAUCUAGCAACAGUUGUCCCAAAUCUUGAAUCAAAUGGACUUGAUCUUCUGUCUGAUGUGCAGGAUCUAGCAACGGUUGUCCUCUUAAGAAUGUGAACAGUUCAACCACAAAUGCUGACACUAAAUUAUCUUUGACACUCACUGCUUCAAAUGUGUAAUUAAUUGGACACAACUAUUUCAUAUCUGCAAUAAAAUGCUUCAGUAUGAACCAGCUAAAAGAAUCAUUGCUCGGCAUGCAGUUUCUUAGUCAUCCUGCGGUUGGAGAUCUCUUAACUGAGGAAGAUCAAAAGAUUUUCAAGCAUUUGGUUUCUUUGGACUUGGAGGAUUCAAAAGAUGUGAAGUCAGGCUAUACUAUUACAUUUGUUCUUCAGCUGGUUUGGUAAGACACAACAGAAAAAUCUUUUGGAAGGAAUGUCUGAUGAGCACGAGUCAAUGUGGACAAGCUUGAUAGUUUUAGCUUAGGCUUGCCAGCUUGGGCACUUUGUGCAAGCGGAGGAAUAGGAAUAUGAAGCAAAAGGAAGAAUUAUGCACCAGAUGAGGCAGAGAAACAUAACAGACGGGAUCAAGCAAUGAAUUUGAUCAAGCAAAUUGUGUUUCUUUUUUUUCCUUUGUGGAUUACAAGCAAAUUGGAAUAUUUAAAUAGGCCUUUGAGUAUUGACUUGGAAAUGGAAAUGAAUGUAACUAAUUUGUAAUGGAGUAAAUUCUUUGUUUAUCAUAAUAUGCAACGUGUUUGGAGUAUAAUUUGA